rnacentral:lncRNA from 10 species
CAUAGAACUUAAACUGCCACAUACCGUAAGCCUAAAGAGAAUCUUUUAACCAUGUAGCAUAGAAGUUCAAAGGGGGUCGAUCACUAAGAACUAGAGUAAGCUAUCCAGAAAACUUUCAUAAAAGUGUAAUUAGAACUAUUAUUGGCGGUAGGGAGGAAUAGAGGAAAGGUGUCCAUAUCCUGAGAAAGGUCAACGUCAACGUCUGUAGCAAAAGCAGUGGGGGGAAAGUUGGACACAUGAGUGAGGCCUGAUUUAGGAAAGCCCAGAACACAAGCUUAGCUUUUGGACGUAGUCUCAUGGGAGUUCUCAGCCAGGGCUACUGAACAGAAUCACCUGGAGAGCUUUAAAAAAUAUGCCCAUGGCAGAGCUUUACUCCAGAUCAAAAAUAAGAGAGUUUCUGAGGGAAGUGGCCUGGGCAUUAAAACUUAAAGACACACAAGGUGAUGCUCAUGUACAGUCUGGAUUGAGAACUACUGGACUAGAGAACAGAGAGGUAAAGCAUGACAGAUAUGAUUAAGGCUCAAGCUUGAUUUAAGACCCUGUUUAUAAGCAACAAACUUGAGCUGAUUACCUGUUGAAGCUUGUAUUCUAACCUGAGUUAAAAAUUCUCAGUUUUCUUAGUGUUUCUUUUCCCUUGUUGACAAGGCUAAGCUCUGAAAAUAGGAAAAGUACCCAUCAAUUUCUCAUACAUGACUGGUUCAUUGAGUGUAAGGUCUACAACCUUAGAAUUUUACUUCCACGAUGUUCCAUAGACGACUAACCUAGAAGAUAAGUACUUCAAUUCUAAGCUGCUCUUACAUCCCUGCAAUGCACUCCUUUUAUAUCAGCGAAUGUUCUAGGCUGCAUCCAGAUUUUGCAAAACUCCUAAAUACAGGGAGAUCCCAAUACCUAUGUACACCUAAGUCUUUUAGCUUAGACCAGGAGUGUCCAAUCUUUUGACCUCCCUGGGGCACACAGGAAGAAGAAAUGUCUUGGGCUUGUAUUUUCUCUUUAGAAGCCAUUCUUUUGCUUUCUGAAUAGAAUAAGUGAAUGGCCAGCUCUCUUUUUUUAAUUAUUUUUUUAGAGAUAGGGUCUCACCCUGUUGCCCA